rnacentral:rRNA from 1 species
UGGGGAAUUGUUCGCAAUGGGCGCAAGCCUGACGACGCAACGCCGCGUGGAGGAUGAAGAUCUUCGGGUCGUAAACUCCUUUCGAUCGAGACGAACGGCCUCCGGGUGAACAAUCCGGAGGAGUGACGGUACCGAGAGAAGAAGCCCCGGCUAACUCCGUGCCAGCAGCCGCGGUAAUACGGGGGGGGCAAGCGUUGUUCGGAAUUACUGGGCGUAAAGGGCUCGUAGGCGGCCAACUAAGUCAGACGUGAAAUCCCUCGGCUUAACCGGGGAACUGCGUCUGAUACUGGAUGGCUUGAGUGUGGGAGAGGGAUGCGGAAUUCCAGGUGUAGCGGUGAAAUGCGUAGAUAUCUGGAGGAACACCGGUGGCGAAGGCGGCAUCCUGGACCAUUACUGACGCUGAUGAGCGAAAGCCAGGGGAGCAAACGGGAUUAGAUACCCCGGUAGUCC